rnacentral:hammerhead_ribozyme from 1 species
AUCCAACUGAUGAGUCCUAAAUAGAAGAAAGCGCACUUCCUGGAU